UGCGUAGGUGGUGAGGUAAGUCGGAUGUGAAAGCUCCGAGCUCAACUCGGAAAUGGCAUUGGAAACUACCUUGCUCGAGGGUUUGAGGGGGGACUGGAAUACUUGGUGUAGCAGUGAAAUGCGUAGAUAUCAAGUAGAACACCAGUGGCGAAGGCGAGUCCCUGGAAAACUCCUGACACUGAGGCACGAAAGGCUAGGGAGCAAACA
rnacentral:rRNA from 1 species